rnacentral:rRNA from 1 species
UACGUAGGUGGCAAGCGUUGUCCGGAUUUACUGGGUGUAAAGGGCGUGUAGCCGGGCUGACAAGUCAGAUGUGAAAUCCGGGGGCUCAACCCCCGAACUGCAUUUGAAACUGUUGGUCUUGAGUAUCGGAGAGGCAGGCGGAAUUCCUAGUGUAGCGGUGAAAUGCGUAGAUAUUAGGAGGAACACCAGUGGCGAAGGCGGCCUGCCGGACGACAACUGACGGUGAGGCGCGAAAGCGUGGGGAGCAAACAGG